UACGGAGGGUGCAAGCGUUAUCCGGAUUCACUGGGUUUAAAGGGUGCGUAGGUGGGUAAGUAAGUCAGUGGUGAAAUCUCCGGGCUUAACCCGGAAACUGCCAUUGAUACUAUUUGUCUUGAAUACUGUGGAGGUCAGCGGAAUAUGUCAUGUAGCGGUGAAAUGCUUAGAUAUGACAUAGAACACCAAUUGCGAAGGCAGCUGGCUACACAAAUAUUGACACUGAGGCACGAAAGCGUGGGGAUCAAAUAGG
rnacentral:rRNA from 1 species